rnacentral:rRNA from 1 species
GUUCUCCUACGGGACGCAGCAGUGAGGAAUAUUGGUCAAUGGGCGAGAGCCUGAACCAGCCAAGUCGCGUGAAGGAUGACGGCCCUACGGGUUGUAAACUUCUUUUGUCAGGGAGCAAUUGGGUCCACGCGUGGGCUUAGCGAGAGUACCUGAAGAAAAAGCAUCGGCUAACUCCGUGCCAGCAGCCGCGGUAAUACGGAGGAUGCGAGCGUUAUCCGGAUUUAUUGGGUUUAAAGGGUGCGUAGGCGGACUGGAAAGUCAGCGGUAAAAUCGAGAGGCUCAACCUCUUUCCGCCGUUGAAACUG